UAAAGUGCGAUAUUUAGUGCGAUUUGCAUGAAUCUGUGAGUCAUCGAGUUUUUGAACGCAUCUUGCGCCCGUAAGGGCAUGUCCUUUUGAGUAUCGAUAAAUCAUUGUUGACAAAUGUCUUUGACUUUUGUUUAAAUGGCUAUUACCUAAUUAAGCAAAAGGAUUUGGGUGCUAAGUUGCUUUUUUGUCAACUGAUCUAAAACCUUAUUUUGCUCAUUAAUUAUAAAUUCCGAUCUCAGAGUGGCAAGAUUACCCGCUGAACUUAA
rnacentral:misc_RNA from 1 species